CAGAAUGCUACUCAGAAAAGCCAGAAAGUCUUUGUUCAUGUGUCUACAGAAAUUGCUGCUCAUGAAGUCGAGGAAAUAGGCGUGGAACAUUUGCUCAGGGAUGUGAAAGACACAACAAUCAGUACCCUGGCGACUGAGGUCACAGCAAAACUUACUGCUUUGAAAGGACUGGAUGCACGUCUUCGGGAGAUCCGGAGUUACCUUGACCUUGUAAUUGA